rnacentral:sRNA from 1 species
CAAAAAUACAAAAACAAAA